ACCUGAGGGAUAGCUCAGUUGGUAGAGCAUGAGACUCUUAAUCUCAGGGUUCUGGGUUCGAGCCCCGCUUUGGGUG
rnacentral:tRNA from 1 species